GGGCCCGCACAAGCGGUGGAGCAUGUGGUUUAAUUCGAUGCAACGCGAAGAACCUUACCAUCCCUUGACAUCCAGUGAACUUUCUAGAGAUAGAUUGGUGCCUUCGGGAACACUGAGACAGGUGCUGCAUGGCUGUCGUCAGCUCGUGUUGUGAGAUGUUGGGUUAAGUCCCGCAACGAGCGCAACCCUUAUCCUUAGUUGCCAGCACGUAAUGGUGGGAACUCUGGGGAGACUGCCGGUGAUAAACCGGAGGAAGGUGGGGACGACGUCAAGUCAUCAUGGCCCUUACGGGAUGGGCUACACACGUGCUACAAUGGCGCGUACAAAGGGCAGCGAACCUGCGAAGGUAAGCGAAUCUCAUAAAGCGCGUCGUAGUCCGGAUUGGAGUCUGCAACUCGACUCCAUGAAGUCGGAAUCGCUAGUAAUCG
rnacentral:rRNA from 1 species